rnacentral:rRNA from 1 species
AUUGAACGCUGGCGUCAGGCCUAACACAUGCAAGUCGAACGAGUGGCGUACGGGUGAUUAAUGUCUCGGAAACUGCCUGAUGGAAGGGGAUCACUACUGGAAACGGUCGCUAAUACCGCAUACCAUCGGUUGUGCCCAGAGGGGAUUGGCUAGUAGGUGGGGUAAAGGCUCACCUAGGCGGCGAUCCCUAGCUGGUCUGAGAGGAUGACAGGCAACAUGGGAACUGAGAAACGGACCAGACGCCGACGGGAGGAAGCAGGGGGGAAUAUGGCAAAAUGGGGGAAAGCCUGAUGCAGCCAGGCCGCGUGUAUGAAGAAGGCCUUCGGGUUGUAAAGUACUUUAAGCGGGGAGGCGGUACCCGAAGAAGAAGCAACGGCUAACUCCGUGCCAGCAGCCGCGGUAAUUC